rnacentral:rRNA from 1 species
AGUAAAGUGGCGUACGGGUGAGUAACACGUGGAUGAUCUACCUUUUAGUGGGGAAUACCGCUGGGAAACCGGUGACAAUACCGCAUAAUCCCGAGAGGGGAAAGCAGCAAUACGCUGAAAGAGGAGUCCGCGGUCGAUUAGCUAGUUGGUAAGGUAAUGGCUUACCAAGGCUGUGAUCGAUAGCCGGCCUGAGAGGGCACACGGCCACACUGGCACUGAAACACGGGCCAG